rnacentral:lncRNA from 13 species
AUGGCUGUGAUAACAAGUGGAGUUAAACACCUGCGCUCUGAUCUCGUCAGGUCACGCAGGAUAGAAACAUCCUACCUCAGCCUAUCCUUGACCAAAGCACAACCAUGUUCCUUACACCAAGAGACGGGGUUUUGCCAUGUUGGCCUGGCUGGCCUUGAACUCCUGACCUCAAGCCAUCUGCCCACCUCAGCCUCCCAAAGUGCUGGGAUUAUAGGCAUGAGUCACCAUGCCAGGCCUAAGAAAUCUUUUUAUAUCUUCAUUCAGAUAUAAAGUAUAACAGAUUGACAGAAUAGCUUGCUAGCUGUGAACACUGGACUGCCGCCUGCCAAAUGGUGAAUACCAUAAACUGUCCAUGCCAGUUCAGCAUCUAUAAAAAUUUGUUAUAGCCAAUGUGAUAAUGCAUGUGAAAGGGCCUGGAAAAUGUAGGAGAAGCCAGUUGCUCUUACGCAAAGAAUCAUGGAGUUACACAUGCAGAUGUAAGGAAUAAGGAAUUUAUAUUUUACCCAACAUAAAUUCAAGCAGAGAAAGAAAAAGUUUCUUCAAGAAAAUGUGGUUUUGAAUUUUUUCAAUUAAGAAAAUCAUAUAAGAGAAAUAUUCAUUUCAGAGGCCAUUUAUCAUAGAUUAUAGAAUUGGAAGACAGUUAGCAGAUUAUGUGUCCAGUAUCCUGCCUUCAGAAACAUCAUUCAUGGACUACUAGGAAAGCAGGGAAAUCUGUGUUUGAAUAUCGACUCCAUUCCUGUCUAGCUGUGAAACCUUGAGCAAAUCACUUACCCUCUUUGUGUCUUAGUUUCUUUAUCUGAAAAAUUCACAAAAUAUAAUAUCAACCUGGAAUAUAAUUCUAGCCAGAAUAUAUAAAAUAAUAUAUGGAAAACACUUUGAGCAGUGCCUGUUUAAAAAUUUACUAGCUAUAGUUAUCUUCAUCUUGAAACAAUGUGACUGAAUUUCAGAACAUUUCCGGGACUCAUUCAAAGUUACACAGCUAACAUAUUGUGAGGCAACAUCUAGAACCUAGGACUUCUGCCUCCUGAAACAUUGUGGAUUUAAGCAUUUAAAAAACAUUUAUGCAGUUAAAUAUUCUUAACACCUGAAAUAGACAUUGAUACAAAACAAUGUAUUAUAAUAAUUUUUCUAAAGAAAAAAUAUACAUAGAUAUGCAUGAGAAGCAUGGAAAAAAGUAUAUCAAAAUGCAAAUAGUGAGUAUGUGGCAGAGGGAGUUUAAGAAUAUGAAUGAUUUUGUUUAUCUUGUGCUACUGUGUUUUCUAUAUUACUAGCAAUUCAGCAGAUAAUGACUUUCAUCAUCAGAAAAUUGUUAUUAAAAAGGCCAAGCAGCAAUAACACAGGCAGCAAGAAUAAAAAUUCUGCAUGUCUUGGAUAUGUGUUUUUG